UACGUAGGGUGCGAGCGUUAAUCGGAAUUACUGGGCGUAAAGCGUGCGCAGGCGGUUGUGCAAGACAGAUGUGAAAUCCCCGGGCUUAACCUGGGAACUGCAUUUGUGACUGCACGGCUAGAGUGUGUCAGAGGGGGGUAGAAUUCCACGUGUAGCAGUGAAAUGCGUAGAUAUGUGGAGGAAUACCGAUGGCGAAAGGCAGCCCCCUGGGAUAACACUGACGCUCAUGCACGAAAGCGUGGGGAGCAAACAGG
rnacentral:rRNA from 1 species